rnacentral:lncRNA from 1 species
CUCCCUAUAUUGAUCAUGCCUUCCAAAAGAUUAUGUCCACAUAGAACUCCGGAAUGGCUUUUUGUCACCAACAUAGUGAAGUUCUAUUUCCCUUUUCCCGAACAGGGCUUGCAGUUCCCAAACCAGACACAAUCUCCCAGUUAGAGAAAGAAAAAGGAUCCUAGAUGAUAGUGAGACAAAUUUCAGGAAACUCCAUCCAAAUAAGUAAAUGAGAAUGAGGAUAAGAUUCAUUCCUGAGGAGAGGAGAAGCUGUCAGUGGAGGUCCCUGAAGUUACCCAGGCCCAGGAGAGACACAGCAUCAGCUGACAACUGCAGUAAAUGCCACUGAAGACCCUCACUGGGAAGAGGCUGCAGAACCGUGUCUGCCAUGCUCGUGUUUUAAAUGCUGGCCAAGCUGAAUCAAAACUCCUUUUCCUUUUUCAAAUUUCCUUUUUUAAAUAGAAGAAGUUUCAGGUACUCAAAAAAUGUCACACAAGACUUAUUGUGUUUGCCCUGUAUCAUUUCUUUCUUAAACAAUUUAAGCAGGAGUUAUUUCACAUACUGUAUUUGGCAAUCAGCUUUUGUUAUUUCAAACCAAUGAAGACAAUAAAUUUGCUUUCUUCCUCUAUUCUUUUUCUUUCGUUUUCUUUUUUUUUGAGACGGAGUCGCGCUCUUGUGCCCAGGCUGGAGGGCAGUGGUGCGAUC